CUGCGUUCCCUCACCGUAGAGGCGGCACAGGACUCCGACGGAACUCUAUGGAAUCGUUGAGCGACCCUCUCCCAGGCUCGGUUGUGAAGUAGUGUGUUCUGAAGACCUCUUCAUCCGGAGUGUGUUCUUCAUAAACAACAUGACUGUGCACCCUAGAGCCAUCGUCUGAAGAACCUCAGGCACGAUCAAGAGCACACCUCUGGAAGUCAGUCUGAAUACCAGUGACAGUCCUGCUAGGCACCAGCAUCUCUGUCCUGGAGGGGCUCACAAUCAUUUCCCUAAGGGAGCAGUGAUGUGUGCGGAGGUCAGAGAGCAACUUGCGGGAGUCUGUUUUCUCCUUCUACC